UUGGAUCUCAAAUCAGACAAGACGACCCGCUGAAUUUAAG
rnacentral:rRNA from 1 species